GGAUGGAUCAUUCCUGACAAACAAACACCAACCAAAGCACUAACUGAUCGAACACUCAGUCAAUACAUCUAUAACAUCAAAAACUUUCAGCGAUGGAUGACUCGACUCUCGCACCGAGGAAGGACGCAGCAAACCGCGAUAAGCAGUAUGUCUUGCGAAAUUUCGUGAUUCACCAGAUUUCUGAACGCAAAGGUACUUCUGGCCUAGGCUUGGAGUAUGUUUGGCUCGGUAUCAUAUAGAAAUUCAGGCAUAAUAGUCUGAGGGACACUCAGUGUUACCUACAUCACUGAUAAUGAUGCUACCUGCCGAUAAACACAGUCAGUAGACGUUUGUGAAAGGUAGUAGGCAUUUCGUUCUUGUGAUCCGAGCUCAAACAAGGUUACCCGCUGAAUUUAAGCAUAUAAUUAAGCGGAGGAAAAGAAACCAACUGGGAUUCCCGUAGUAGUGGCGAACGAAGUGGGAAAAGCCCGUGAUGCUAAUCCACCAUUGGUGGAGUUGUACAUCAGGGUCAAGGCUAUUCGACAAUGCGUGAAUAAGAUGCCUGGAAAGGUACGCCAGAGAAGGUGACAGCCCUGUUCUUGUCUCACAUUGUUCGAAGUACAGCCAUGAUCUAAUGAGUCACGCUCUUUGGGAGUAGAGCGCAAAAGGGGUGGUAACCUCCAUCCACGGCUAUAUAAUGGCGAGAGAUCGAUAGCAAACAAGUACCGUGAGGGAAAGUUGAAAAGCACUUCGAAAGGAGAGUUAAAAUACCUGAAAUCGCUGAGGGGGAAGCGGCUGUCCGUGACCCGGUGUAUCCAGCUUGCUGAGUACACUACUCGAUACCACUUAAUAGAUCGCCGAUCAACAGUCGCUUCGGCCGCUGUUGGGUUCCGCGUUACAUUGAGUGUGGCACACCAAAGUAUGUUGUCGAGAGUGGCACGUACAGACGACCCGUCUUGAAACACGGACCAAGGAGUUAAACGAAAGUGCGAGUGUAAGGGUGUCAAACCCAGACGCGUAGUGAAAGCAAAAGCUGUGAAUUUCCAUGCAACAGCGGCCGACUUGAAGUUCGAGCUUGAGCAUUUUCGUUUAGACCCGAAAGAUGGUGACCUAUACCUGAGUUGGGUGAAGCCAGGGGAAACUCUGGUGGAAGCUCGUAGCGAUACUGACGUGCAAAUCGUUCGUCAAACUUGGGCAUAGGGGCGAAAGACUAAUCGAACCAUCUAGUAGCUGGUUCCCUC
rnacentral:misc_RNA from 1 species